GGAUGUUUCGGUGAAUGCUGGUCGUGCCAUUAUCUUCAUAAAUAUUAAUGGUCGCUAUGAUCUCUCCCUUCCUUUGGUAACCUGUAAGUCUUGCCUAAAAUCGUGGACACCUGAGGUCAAAGACCUUAUAUUAAAUGGGUACUGGCCUGGAACCAUUGAGUUUCAAACAGUUUACACUGUCGACCUGUUCAGUACCUUUGAAGACUUUAAAGUCACGGCACCUGGCCUAUCCAGACAGGCCUUUGUGAGAAUGCUGCAAAGCCGCUCAAUGCGUUCUGGCAGAGUUGGUACAAUAUCAGUGGACUGUUUUCAGCGCAGUUUUCUGGAAUGGACAUACUGUAGACAUGAGAUGGAAACACUCCUUGGAGAUUACCAUUUCUCCAGUCC